GCAUAAUCACUUGCCUUUUAAUUAAAGGCUAGAAUAAAUGGCUUCACGAACCUCCCCCUGUCUCAAAAUUAAAAGUAAAAUUUAAAUUCCAGGUGAAGAUGCUUGGAUAUUUUUGAAAGACAAGAAGACCCUAUAGAUUUUAAGUUUAUACCUAUUUUCAAUACUUAUAAACUUUAGUUGGGGCGACUAAGGAUACAAAAAAACAUCCUUAUAGAAAAAGAGAUAUACCUCAUAUAACUGAUCUUAAACAUAAAAACAAAUAAUAAAUUACCUUAGGGUUAACAGGCUUAUCUUCCUAAAGAGUUCAAAUUAACAGGAAGGUUUGGCACCUCGAUGUUGGCUUAGAGUAACCUAUUAAUGUAGUAGUUAAUCAAGGUUAGUGUGUUCAACUAUUAAAUCUCU
rnacentral:rRNA from 1 species